rnacentral:rRNA from 1 species
UACAGAGGUCCCAAGCGUUGUUCGGAUUCAUUGGGCGUAAAGGGUGCGUAGGUGGCGCCGUAAGUCGGGUGUGAAAUUUCGGAGCUUAACUCCGAAACUGCAUUCGAUACUGCGGUGCUUGAGGACUGGAGAGGAGACUGGAAUUCAUGGUGUAGCAGUGAAAUGCGUAGAGAUCAUGAGGAAGACCAGUGGCGAAGGCGGGUCUCUGGACAGUUCCUGACACUGAGGCACGAAGGUCAGGGGAGCAAACGGG